rnacentral:rRNA from 2 species
UGGCUCAUUACAACAGCCGUCGUUUCUUGGAUCUCUUAUUUUACUUGGAUAACUGUGGUAAUUCUAGAGCUAAUACACGCACUAAAGCUCCGACCUUACGGGACGAGCGCAUUUAUUAGAACAAAACCAAUCGGGUUUCGGCCCGUUCGUUGGUGACUCUGAAUAACUACGCCGAUCGCACGGUCUCGCACCGGCGACGCAUCUUUCAAGUGUCUGCCUUAUCAACUUUCGAUGGUAGUUUAUGUGCCUACCAUGGUUGUAACGGGUAACGGAGAAUAAGGGUUCGACUCCGGAGAGGGAGCCUGAGAAACGGCUACCACAUCCAAGGAAGGCAGCAGGCGCGCAAAUUACCCACUCUCGGCACGAGGAGGUAGUGACGAAAAAUAACGAGACGGAUCUCUUUGAGGCCCGUUAUCGGAAUGAGAACAAUUCAAAUCCUUUAACGAGGAUCUAGCGGAGGGCAAGUCUGGUGCCAGCAGCCGCGGUAAUUCCAGCUCCGCAGGUGUAUAUCUAUGCUGCUGCGGUUAAAAAGCUCGUAGUUGGAUCUGCGUGCUCGGAACCGGUUGGCUCACUGAGUUCAAACUGGUCUCCGGCGCUUUAUCGGCUGGUUUUCCCUUGAUGCUCUUAACCGGGUGUCUUGGGUGGCUAGCACGUUUACUUUGAAAAAAUUAGAGUGCUCAAUACAGGCGCAAAGCCUUGAAUAGUGGUGCAUGGAAUAAUGGAAUAGGACCUCGGUUCUAUUUUGKUGGUUUUCGGAACGCGAGGUAAUGAUUAAGAGGGACAGACGGGGGCAUUCGUAUUGCGACGUUAGAGGUGAAAUUCUUGGAUCGUCGCAAGACGGACGACUGCGAAAGCAUUUGCCAA